UCUCCGUUGGUGAACCAGCGGAGGGAUCAUUACUGAGUUACCGCUCUACAACCCUUUGUGAACAUACCUAACUGUUGCUUCGGCGGGCAGAGGUCCCUCGCGGAUCUCUCCCGGCAACGCCCUCAUGGGCGGAGCGCCCGCCGGAGGAUACCAAACUCUAUUUUAACGACGUUUCUUCUGAGUGGCACAAGCAAAUAAUUAAAACUUUUAACAACGGAUCUCUUGGUUCUG
rnacentral:misc_RNA from 1 species